rnacentral:rRNA from 1 species
AUUGAACGCUGGCGGCAUGCUUUACACAUGCAAGUCGAACGGCAGCGCGGGGAGCUUGCUCCCUGGCGGCGAGUGGCGCACGGGUGAGUAAUACAUCGGAACGUGUCCUAUUGUGGGGGAUAACUGUCCGAAAGGACAGCUAAUACCGCAUAAGACCUGAGGGUGAAAGCAGGGGAUCGCAAGACCUUGCGCGAUAGGAGCGGCCGAUGACCGAUUAGCUAGUUGGUGCGGUAAAGGCGCACCAAGGCGACGAUCGGUAGCUGGUCUGAGAGGACGACCAGCCACACUGGGACUGAGACACGGUCCAGACUCCUACGGGAGGCAGCAGUGGGGAAUAUUGCACAAUGGGGGAAACCCUGAUGCAGCCAUGCCGCGUGUGUGAAGAAGGCC